UAACUUACUAAACGCCGUCGCGUUCCAGUCCUGCGGCGAUGUCCACGUCGGCAACGAAAGGACAACCGUCCGAUCUGGUUCUGCAGCUCCGGCUUCGUGAGAGUUCCAGGCUUCCGAAUCUCGUCUCCCAGAUUCCCCAAUCGCCGCCAUCCCGACCUCCCGUCACUCGGCCUCGAUCUCCUCUAGAAACCACCGGCCGGGGCCGCUGCCUCCCCGCUAGUGACCCAUUUCCGAGCCACUCGCCCGGUAAUCUCGCUGCGACCGCGAGCGUGCGGCCAUGGAGGACUACACAGAGGAGCUGCGGACGCCUCCGCUGUCGCUCGUGUCCAUCAUGGGGCGCCCGGAGCUGCACCCUUCGAUCUCGGCGUCGCUCAGCUCCCAACAACCGCCCAUGAACACCCUGGCGCUCCCGGACUUCGCUAAGGCCUUUAUCCUUUCACCAAGCUCCAUUCCCCCUCGUCUACCCUCUCUCUCUGCUUGCUGCCCCUGCUGCCGAGUGCUGAAAUAUUAUAAGAACUACAAGCUCAUGCUGCAACUGCAGUUGGGCAUCAGACAUUUGGUGGGGAAAUCCGCUCGGUGCGAUGCGAGUGCUGGCACAGACAGAUUUUGAUCCGCGGGAGAAACUCUGCACGCGAUUCCCCCCGGAGGGGUCAAAGGUCACGCCACCACAUUCAUCUGUGCAGUUCCGGUGGAAGGACUACUGCCCCAUAGUUUCAGGCAUUUGAGAAAGUUGUUCACUGUUGAUCCAGCAGAUUACAUGUUCGCUGUCUGUGGCAACAAUGUUCCGAGGGAUUGUCUUUGCUGGGAAAAAUGGUAGCUUCUUCUAAACCUUACCCAAGACGACCGCUUCAUGAUUAAGACCGUGAAGAAAUCAGAAAUCAAGUUGCUAAUUCAAAUGUUAAAUAGCUACUACCAACAUGUCAGUCAAUAUAAGAACUCUCUAAUCAGAAGGUUAUAUGGUGUACACUGUGUGAAGCCCUUUAAUGGACAGGUUCAUCCUAUGGCCGAACAGCAGACAAUUUUGAAGAAGAGAUUGAUGAGACAACCGCUCUCAAGGACUUGGACCUCAAUUUUGUUUUCCAGUUGCAGCGAUCUUGGUACACAAAUUCCAUGAAGCUUUUAACAAAUAGUGAGUCAUUUCAAGGUGGCGCCACGGCAUGCCCGAGCUUUGCUUCUCAGAUGACGAUUUUGAUAGGAUACCUGAGUGCCGGUUGCCUCAGCCCUUGCUACAGACCAUACAGGAUUCAGUGUUUAUAUCCUUCCUUUUAUUUACUUCUAUCCUUUGUUUUCUCUACUAUUUAUUUUCAUAAUAACAAAUUAGAUUGAAAACAAAGAUCUUGAUGCUUGUGGAUCGGCUUUUAACGUUCAUUGAUCUGAAGAUGAAAGCUAGGAUGCUGGAGUUGGUUGAUAUUUACUAUUUCACUUUGCAGGAUACGAAAGCUAGGAUGCUGGAGUUGGUUGAUAUUUACUAUUUCACUUUGCAGGAUACAUCAAGACAUAGUAGAUGUUAACCAACUCAAGCAUCUUACCAUUUAUAGAUUCUUUUUUACCUUCAGAAAAUAUGAACAGCAAAAGCCGAUCCAUAAGCGUCAAGUAAAUAUUCACAACAAAAUCUUUUCCCUAUAAUAUAACACGAAACUUAGGUAUUUUUUGAAUAAAAGUCCUGAUGAAGUUAUCCGCAGUUUAUUUUGCAACAAGAAUAAUGAAUUAUUCAUUACCAUGUUACCAUAUGAUUGUAAAAAUUUCAGUGCUCCACGCUGCAGGAUAGCUCAAAUAAUAUUUUGUGUAUCUCCAUGUGUUUAUCCAUUGCAAAUAAUAUUAUUAUACAACUUUACAUAUCAUUCCACUUAACCAAUGUAAUGAUGAAGCUACUUCUAAUGCAACUUUACAUAUAUGCCUUCAGUAUUAGGAUUCCAUAAUUACUGCACAACAACAAUCUGUCAAAUAAAAAAAAGGUAGAAUGCUUCAGGCUGUGUGAAAGCUUUUAUGCUUUAGCAGUACAAACUUCACCUGUCCGAAGAUUACGCUUAAUUUCAAUAUGUCGAUUACACCCGCCAUCAUCACCGCCAUUGCCACCAAAAAAAUAGAUUUAGGAAUUAUAGAUUUAGAAUUUCCACAAUCACAUUUUGUGAUCGUUCUUGGGACCUCAUAUUCAAAUAAAGCAUGAUCAUCGGACUGGUGAAGUUAUUUUAAAUGCUUGAUAGCAUCUUGAUCACAGUCUCCCAGGUGUUGCUCUGCAAACAUUUCUCCAAGGUGUUCAUUAUUAAAUAAUUCUGACCUUAUAAACAAGUAUCAUUCUCCUGCUGAAACAAGUAUUGUAGAAUUGUAAUCCACCUAAAACGAAUUAUUUUGUUAGUAGGUACUACAAUUGCAAUGUUUUCUUGGACUCAGCUAAUAAGGCCCAUGGAUUGAUCAUGAAUUGUUGAUAAACAAGAACAUGAACAGCCAGAGAAGAACUUAACAUGACAAAGAUAACAACACUUCUAUGCUAAUACUUUUCGCACGCCAUGAUUUACUCUGUUGGUUAUGCAGUUGCAAAUGAGUUCUUGUGUAAACAAUAUUUUAGAUCAUUAAUUACAGUUUGAGGUUCUGUAUUUGUUAAAAAAUAGUAAGUAGUUUCUUUGCUAAUUACCACUGCCACCAAAAAGUCCCAAAAAUCAUAGCGCUCUUUUCUCUACAGAAAAAAUAGUAUUGUUACAAUACAUUAUAAAUUGUAUAUUUAGAGUUUCCACAAUCUCAUAUUCAAAUAAAUCGUGAUCGCUAGACUGGUGAAGUUUUUAAACUGCUUCAACAUUACAAAUGAACUAAGAGAUGAUCACUGCAAACAUUUCUUCAACGUUUUAAUUGGUGAUUCUGUAACAGAUUGAUGAGCAAUUCUAACCUUGUCAACCGUAGAGAUAUAACUUUCUUAUUAAAUUUGUGUGCACCUUUAACAAUUAUUUUUUUGCAUCCUACACUACUUUUAUUUAAAUAUGCAAAUGAUGAAAGGGAAGAAUCAAAUUGUAUACAUGUGAGUACAAAGCUCAGCUGGCACGGUUAUAGCAAAUGCAUGUUUUUCUUUUUUCUCAACAUUUUCAUUUUCUUUAGAACAUAAAUUCUCUUUUGCUUGAUAGAAACCUGCAUAAACCCUGCAAUUACCACACUUAUUGUUACAAUAAGUACCAUUAUGCUCGGCGAAGGGCUAUAUAGCGCGUCGUUUGCGCGCUAUUUUCUAGUUGGACUCCGAUUUGCCUUGGGACGUGGAAGGGUGGCAUGAAGGUAGUGUUUUGGCUAUGGAAAAGUGAUUGUGUCCUGAGGAAUGUGUGCCAAGAUGGUGUAGAGGUGGCUAAAUCUUGGCGCCAAUUUGAAUUGUGCCAACAUGCUAAUGUGUCUUUUCUCAUAUUUCUAAGUAGUAUCCUAUCCUCAAGUAUGGAUACGAACAAAGAUGAAUGAACUAAUCUCAAUUUAAUUGAAAUGCAUAUGCUCUUAUAAUGGAAUUUUGUAUAAGUGCAAAAACUAGAUGAUUAUUUGUUAUGGUUGUAUCUAAAAAGGGAUGUCCUCACCAUCCUACUCUUCUUAAAUUGAAGUCAUCCUCGAUGGUAGCUCAUAUGUAAUUAGUUGUGUUGUUGAGCACAACCUCAAUUUAGGAAGAAUCACAUUUCAUUCCUCGUCCUCUAAUUGUUCUUGUCUUUCAAAUAUGAGUAUAAGCAAAGUACAUCUAUUAGGUAGUAUAUUAUUCUUAUUAAGAAUAUAAUUUAAAGUAUUUAGGAACAGAUUUAUCUUAAUCUCAAAUUUUCAUGCACAUGGUUGCAUAACUGAUUCUUUGUAUGUAUCGGAAAUGUUUUCAGCUUUUUAUGAGUUCAUGUCGUUCAAAUGUACUUGAAGCAUUUACAGUAAUUGGUGGAACAACGUAUAGUGUACGAUUGAUUCGGAUAUUCGUAUCAUCCUCCCCCUUCUUUUAAGAAAAGUUGUCUUUGGCUUUUGAUAGCCUAAGAAUGCACUAAACAAAGAGAAUAGCGUAUAUGCAUAAUAUAUAUAAUUGUUAUCAGUUUUAGCUAGCUUCUUGAUAUGCAUAUAACAUUUAUUAUAACACAACAAUAAUUAUAUAAUGAAUAUGUAAAAUCAGUUGUCGAACACUAUCAUUCUCAUCAUUCCCCCUCUUAGAACACGAACAUGAUAUUGUACUUCAUUCCAUCCAGCAAACAUUAUCAUUUGCACUCAUUUUAGGGUUAUCAAAAUAUGGCACAAAAGAUUGUAGAUCCAUGAGAUUCAAAUGCAAACUAGUAAGAUUAUCACAAGUAAUGUAUAUUCCAUAUAUAUAGAACUGAUUAUCUACAUCACAAUCUGCAAUUUAUAUUUCUGAGCGUAUGUAUUCAAAAAUGAUUUCAUCGAUGCAAUUUUAUAAAUAUUUUUCAACAUACAAGAUAAUAGGCUUGUGAAGCAUGAUAUAAAACAAGGAAUCAGCAGGGGAUAUUCUAGAAAUAGCUUCUUUGUGAGUAAUGAUUUCUAUGAGUAAAAUUAUAUGUAACUAAUUCAGAACGUGGAUCAAUUAAAUCUACACAUAUAGGCUCACAUAUAUUCAUUGUACCAGAUGUAUUCUCAUAAUUGUUCACAAUUUAUUGUUGCAUGGGCAAAUCAAUUCCUCUUUCAUUACCUUCCAUGUCAUCCUGACAUGACCUUGUAUUAUAGGUGAUGUGUAUUCACCUUCUUCCUCAAGUGAUGUGGGUUGUGUAGUAAUUAUAUUAUCUUUAUUAACUGAAUAAUGUAAGGAACACUAGAAGCUGAUAUGAAUUCGUUAGUUUUAGAAAUAUCCUUAUUUUUGCUAGUAUCUACUUCUCUCAUUUCUUUUUAUGGGUCACUCAAUCUCAAUUUUGAUGUUCGCAACAUGUAUUAUGGAAUCACACAACAUGCUAUGUUCAACACUCAAUUGGGCUAGUUGGCUCUCAUACUCGCAUUGGUUUUGAUGCAUUUUACCAUCAACUAUGAUCUUCUCAUGAUUUUAAAUUAUUUUCUCUUCCUCAGUAACACAUUGCACAAGAUCACGCGUGCUACUAAAAUAAUUAUGUUGAAGUGAAGCAGUGAUAUCAGAAUUUGGAUCACUCAUAAAAUGAGCCUUCAUUGCAUCUUCCGAUUUAUUAAGACCAUAACGAUAAAAACCGGUUUGUAACUCUUGAUAAUACCUUUCUACAAAAUUAGUUCCUUGUUUCAAAUGUUGUAGUUUAUUUAGCAAAUCACGAGCCUAAUAUGAAGGAACAAAUCUAGCACGUAUAAUUCUUUUUAAAUUAUCCUAAGUUUAUUGUGUAGUAUUUUAAGAGCAUGAAUAUAUUCACUCUACCACAUAGAAGAAAAAUCAGUGAACUUGCCGGUAGCAACCCUGACUCUUUUAUUUGUAGAAAAUCAUGAUAAGCAAAUUUUUGAUCAACAGCUAAUUAUCUUAGGUAAGAAAAACAUCAUGAUCAUAUUUACCAUCAAAAGGGGUAUAGUGAAUUUAAUUUUGUUAAGUUAAUCAUAAUUAUCAUGUACCUCUUGACAUGGGCGCAAAUGUCACAUGCCAUAUUGAUUGCGUUGAAGGUGGCA